GUGCCAGCCGCCGCGGUAAUACGGAGGGUGCAAACGUUGCUCGGAAUCAUUGGGCGUAAAGCGCACGUAGGCGGCCUGUUAAGUCGGGUGUGAAAGCCCUCGGCUCAACCGAGGAAGUGCAUUCGAAACUGGCAGGCUUGAGUAUGGAAGAGGGUCGCGGAAUUCCCGGUGUAGAGGUGAAAUUCGUAGAUAUCGGGAGGAACACCAGUGGCGAAGGCGGCGACCUGGGCCAAUACUGACGCUGAGGUGCGAAAGCGUGGGGAGCAAACAGGAUUAGAUACCCCUGUAGUCC
rnacentral:rRNA from 1 species